GCCUAAUACAUGCAAGUCGAGCGAACGGACGAGAAGCUUGCUUCUCUGAUGUUAGCGGCGGACGGGUGAGUAACACGUGGAUAACCUACCUAUAAGACUGGGAUAACUUCGGGAAACCGGAGCUAAUACCGGAUAAUAUUUUGAACCGCAUGGUUCAAAAGUGAAAGACGGUCUUGCUGUCACUUAUAGAUGGAUCCGCGCUGCAUUAGCUAGUUGGUAAGGUAACGGCUUACCAAGGCAACGAUGCAUAGCCGACCUGAGAGGGUGAUCGGCCACACUGGAACUGAGACACGGUCCAGACUCCUACGGGAGGCAGCAGUAGGGAAUCUUCCGCAAUGGGCGAAAGCCUGACGGAGCAACGCCGCGUGAGUGAUGAAGGUCUUCGGAUCGUAAAACUCUGUUAUUAGGGAAGAACAUAUGUGUAAGUAACUGUGCACAUCUUGACGGUACCUAAUCAGAAAGCCACGGCUAACUACGUGCCAGCAGCCGCGGUAAUACGUAGGUGGCAAGCGUUAUCCGGAAUUAUUGGGCGUAAAGCGCGCGUAGGCGGUUUUUUAAGUCUGAUGUGAAAGCCCACGGCUCAACCGUGGAGGGUCAUUGGAAACUGGAAAACUUGAGUGCAGAAGAGGAAAGUGGAAUUCCAUGUGUAGCGGUGAAAUGCGCAGAGAUAUGGAGGAACACCAGUGGCGAAGGCGACUUUCUGGUCUGUAACUGACGCUGAUGUGCGAAAGCGUGGGGAUCAAACAGGAUUAGAUACCCUGGUAGUCCACGCCGUAAACGAUGAGUGCUAAGUGUUAGGGGGUUUCCGCCCCUUAGUGCUGCAGCUAACGCAUUAAGCACUCCGCCUGGGGAGUACGACCGCAAGGUUGAAACUCAAAGGAAUUGACGGGGACCCGCACAAGCGGUGGAGCAUGUGGUUUAAUUCGAAGCAACGCGAAGAACCUUACCAAAUCUUGACAUCCUUUGACAACUCUAGAGAUAGAGCCUUCCCCUUCGGGGGACAAAGUGACAGGUGGUGCAUGGUUGUCGUCAGCUCGUGUCGUGAGAUGUUGGGUUAAGUCCCGCAACGAGCGCAACCCUUAAGCUUAGUUGCCAUCAUUAAGUUGGGCACUCUAAGUUGACUGCCGGUGACAAACCGGAGGAAGGUGGGGAUGACGUCAAAUCAUCAUGCCCCUUAUGAUUUGGGCUACACACGUGCUACAAUGGACAAUACAAAGGGCAGCGAAACCGCGAGGUCAAGCAAAUCCCAUAAAGUUGUUCUCAGUUCGGAUUGUAGUCUGCAACUCGACUACAUGAAGCUGGAAUCGCUAGUAAUCGUAGAUCAGCAUGCUACGGUGAAUACGUUCCCGGGUCUUGUACACACCGCCCGUCACACCACGAGAGUUUGUAACACCCGAAGCCGGUGGAGUAACCUUUUAGGAGCUAGCCGUCGAAGGUGGGACAAAUGAUUGGGGUGAAGUCGUAACAAGGUAGCCGUAUCGGAAGGUGCGGCUGGAUCACCUCCUUUCU
rnacentral:rRNA from 1 species